rnacentral:rRNA from 1 species
UACGGGGGGGGCAAGCGUUGUUCGGAAUUACUGGGCGUAAAGGGCUCGUAGGCGGCCAACUAAGUCAGACGUGAAAUCCCUAGGCUCAACCUAGGAACUGCGUCUGAUACUGGAUGGCUUGAAUCCGGGAGAGGGAUGCAGAAUUCCCGGUGUAGCAGUGAAAUGCGUAGAUAUCGGGAGGAACAUCUGUGGCGAAGGCGACACCCUGGACCAGCACUGACACUGAGGCACGAAAGCGUGGGGAGCAAACAGG